CGGACCUGAGCACACCUGAGUGAGCAGCUGAGGCCAGCCUUUGUCUGUGUCAGCCCUUGAUUUGGUUUUCCAUGUUUGGUGAGGGACAUCCUUUUGUGAGUGAUUGCUUUGGCAUAUCAGCCAAGAAAGAAGAUUCCAGCCACCUGCCUGGCAGCAACUAGUGUGGGGGGAAAUAUAACCCAGUCUUUCAAGUUUGUACAGACAUUACCAGAGGAGCCAAGCACUGUUUUUCCCAAAACUGGUUUUAGUUUUUUGGGCCUUAGUCUUUAUUAGUACAUUUUCUGCUGGACUUAAUGCUGUGUCGGGAGAGAGAGCCUAAGAGCAGCUGUUUUGCAUGUAUGUGUUUUUGUGUGUGUUUUGAACCAUUCUGAUCCGUUGUGAAUAAAUUUAACAACUUUGAUUUGGCUUCAACUAUUAGUACUGGUGAUUUCUCUGUUAAAUUUAUUAGCAUUUCUUUGCUAGCUCUUUUGGUGUGCACAAUUGUGCUUUAAGCUUUAAACCUCUCCCUCCCACUGCAGACUGGUCCAACGGUGAAUGUUUGACAGUGAGACAUAUACAAUACAAAACUUAAAGGGCAAGUCAACUCAUAUACCUUUUGCAUAAAAUAAUGUUG